rnacentral:tRNA from 1 species
GUGAGUAUGGCGAAAUUGGGAAACGCGCUGCACUUAGAAUGCAGUUCUUCGGAUUGGGGGUUCAAGUCCCUCUACUCACACCA